UGUUUACUUAUUAACUCACUAAAUUUCACAACAACCUUCUGUCACAGGCACUGGCUCAGAUCAACUACAGUUACCAUUAACCCACAGCUGAAUGAAAGACUUUGCAUAAGAACUACCCAAGGAAUCCCCGACAACCCGCAUAAAUGUGGGACAUGAAGCCCAAGCAUGGACAGGUCUGAAAGCAUUCCUCUG
rnacentral:lncRNA from 1 species